rnacentral:rRNA from 1 species
AUGGUGCCCGGUUAUAGAAAUCUUGGAGAUUACCUGCCCGACGAUGUACAUUAUGAUUUCUUGGAGGUGGAUGAACACAAAUACCAUUACGGGAAGUCUCUCGUCAAAGAUGAAAGAUCUCUAACAACGAUGAUGCGAAGAUUACAUGAUUGGUACAUAGAAACCUGCAGAGAGUCCGGGGGGAGGAAUACUUUGACGCUGAGAGUUAAAGAGGAGCAUGACCUCGUUGGAGUUGAAAUGUUGAAUGUUCCAUUUGAGGAGUUCUUCCAGUUUUUCAAUCAAAAGGCCCUCGAUAAAUCAACGAUCACUUGCUACUAUCUAUUGAAGAUCGCCGAAUUGAAGGAAAGACAAAUCGGUGAUAUUGGAUUCAUUAACACAAAUCUCAUAGAUGCAACUGAGGUUAAAUAUCAUGCCAAAAAUACCGAGGCCAACUUGCUACGAUCGUUGGUAAUAAAUGAAAACAAAGAUAUAAUACUCUUUCCUUACAACUUCAACUUCCACUAUAUUCUCCUAGAGAUUAAGCUUGAGCAGGGACUAGUAACCGUCUUAGACUCGAGACGAAAAGAUCCCCAGGACUAUGCGGACAUGACUCAAAUGCUCGAGAAGGUUUGGAGAAAAUUCACCAAAAAAGCUCCGGGAGUGCCGAAGAAGCUGCAAUUUAGACACCCGAAAUGGUUGUGGCAGGAACAAGGGAAUGAUUUCUGUGGAUACUACGUUUGCGAGUCCAUCCGCUACACGACCUGUGAGCGGGGCUACUCUGACGAACAAUAUGAAGUGUAUCUUUCGGAUGCGGGAUGA